AGAAGUCAGGAAACACCCAGAUUUGUGAAGGAAGAGACUCUUGCAAGUGUCUCUGGAACAUAUUUAGCCAAGAUUCUAGAGCACUGACUGCACACAUUCUUCCUUGUUGCAAGGGUGGUAUUUCCCCAGCUAUACUCCUUCUUGCUCAGGGAAGAUCUUCAAAAAGGAUCCCACAGCUUCUUCACUCCUCAGCCAUGAGCUUGGCCUCUGUCCCCAUGCUUGUGUUUAUGAUACUUUCUGCCCCGAGAGGAACCGGAGCCCAGUCAGUGACCCAGCCUGACCUCCACAUUACUGUCUCUGAAGAAGCCCCUCUGGAGCUGAGGUGCAACUACUCGUCUUCAUUUCAGGUGUAUGUUUUCUGGUACAUACAGUACCCCAACCAAGGACUGCGGCUUCUCCUGAAGUACAUAGCAGGGGACACCCUGGUGAAAUGUACUGGAGGUUUCGAGGCUGAGUUUAAGAAUAGUGAAAAGUCCUUCCACCUGAGAAAACCUUCCGUCCAUGGGAACGAUGCAGCCAAGUACUUCUGUGCUGUGAGUGACACAGUGCCUGGGACCGCAGGGGGGGCUGAACACAAACUUCUGGUGAAUGUAGGCUUCUAG